UUAUAACUAAAAUGAGAGCUAAUGCAAUGGAAUAUGUCGUAUCAUGAAAAUUUUAAAAGUGCGCAUUUCUUCCCUCUAAUUUUUUCACCAAAUAUUUUGAACAUCACAUGUUUAUUCACAACUCAUUCUCACGGAUUCUCACAGUUCUCACAGUACCCAAUCUACCCAUUCUCACAUCACCCAUUUUCUCCAAUUUUUCCCAUUUUCUCCAUUUCCCCAAAUUCUCCAGUUUUCCCAUCUUCUCACAUUCACAUAUUUGCUUCAGCUCCAGAAUUACUUCGAAAUUCUGAGGUGAAAAUCACGAAAAAAUUCGAAGUUGAAAAUAAGCAAAUAAAUAUGAGGAAGUAGACAAAGGCGGCAAUCAGGAGGUGGUGGCUGAUAGCGGCGGUCAGGCGGUGGUGGCUGAUAGCGGAACAAGCGGUCUCAAUUUCAUUUUUGCAUGUCCCUUCCUUAAGCUGAUUGCUCGAAAUUCUUUUCAAGGUAUACAACGAAUUUUCGUUUUUGAAAAUUAAAUUUGAAGUUUUUGCUUUUGCUUUUGGGAAUUUGUAUUUGAUGCCAUGGAAGGUGAAGUUUCUGCUCUGGUAACUCUUGGAAUUAAACGGCUAAUGGGUUUUGUUUAGCAAUAUUGAUUUUUUUAUUUUAUUAUUUUUGAAACCUAGCAGUACUGAACAUUGUAUUUGAGUAGUCUAAUGGGGUUUUUUUGGGGGAAUUUCAUAUAAAUGGAUAAGAAGAUAUAUUGAUUUGGGGUGGUUGAUUUGGUUCAUUCAUGGGGUAAGACUUCAGAGAUCCUAGUUUAUUUACUCUUUGUAUUAGCUAUGAUGAUUGUUCUGUUUUGUUUAUUACUUUUUUCUAAUUGCUAUAUCCAUUUUUGUGAGCUGUGAAUUAUUUGUGUGAACUUUUUUUCCCUGUUUCUCUCUUAUGUAUGUAUAUUUCGGAUUCUGACUAUUUAUUUUUGAUAAUUGCAUGUGUAUAUGGCUGUCAUCAAAUAUCAGUUUGCUAUUUACUAUUCUGAAUUGGUAUGAGUGAUAUUGACAAGCUUUCAAUAUCAAAUGUGCCUCCUUGAUCAUAUAGGUGAGUGUUCAUUAUUGUUAAUUUGUUGCCUGGUGUGAACCUUAGCCUUUCCCAAAAUCAAUUUAGUGGACUAACGACCUGAAAAUUAUGAUUAUAACUAAAAGAUGAUAAUAUGCUUCUGUUGAUGCUUUUGUUUAAUGAGUAAAGUGAGUUGAUCUACUGAAUGACAAGAGCUGUAAUUUCGUAAGUUCCAGGUUCUUUGUGCAUAUUGCAAUGCAAUAUCUGUUUACGUUUUGGACUUGCUUCAUACAGUUGCAUCCAUGAGAUUACAAUUUUUGGCUUCUCAGCAAAGGCGUGCAGAGCAAUAUACGGUAUUAUUUGCCUCAUCCUUUGCUAGCCUUUCAGUGACAACCACAUCUUUUGUAACCCAUUAUUAUGUGCUGCUUCCAAUAAGUGUCUCUUUUUUAGAUCCCUCUUGACUAAAGCUGCAAUAGUUUGGAGUUUUAUGUAUUAUUGCAUAUUGGUGAUAUUUCUUCAGUAUUCAUUAUUUGCUUGUUCUAGGUUCAUUGUGUAAAUACUGACCUAAAUGCCUUAUUAUUUUUUAUUAAUUGAGUUUAUGUAGGUAGUUGCUAUGAAAUUGAAGCAGUCUAUAAACUUUGCAGACACUUCAUCUCCCUGCAUGCAGCAAGUCAAAUCACCUAUUGCUAAUUCUCUUUUUGGAUUUUUGUUUUUUGGUUUUAUUAUACUUCUAUUAGGUGACCUUUAUUCAUUGAUGAGUACUGCUAUUUUUGUUCGUCAAAGUUGUAUAUUCUUUGUGUGGGUUGCUCAAAUUCUUAAAGUGGCUCUUACAUCUGCUCAAAACAUGUACAUAGAUGUUAAGAUUAGAGAUUGGUCUAUUAUAAAGCUUUUUUCCAAUAUGAUAUAUUAUACUUAAAUUAGGGGCCAAUAAUCUAGCUUAAUGGUCCACUAAAAAGCACCUAAUAAAGAUGCACACUGAUAUUUCUAUUCCUUUGAAUUCAAGUAUAUUGCUUGCCUUGGACCUAAAUCUAAGUCAUUCUCACAUUGGCUAUUCAGAUCAAUUGUCUCAAAAAGUCCAAACUUUUUUAGCCCAUGUCCCAUUUCCUCUACAUAACCUUGCUUAAAUUAGGGGCCAAUAAUCUAGUUUAAUGGUCCACUAAAAAGCACCUAAUAAAGAUGCACACUGAAUAUUUCUAUUCCUUUGAAUUCAAGUCUAUUGCUUGCCUUGGACCUAAAUCUAAGUCAUUCUCACAUUGGCUAUUCAGAUCAAUUGUCUCAAAAAGUCCAAACAUUCGGUCAAGUCUACCUAGGCUUCAACAGGUUUGUUAACUGAAGUUUCCAUGUUUUGCAUCAUUAAUUAAUAUGGUUGGUAGUGGAAGUUUUUCAAUUUAGCAACCUUAUGUUGAAUUCUUUGAAUCUCUAACACUUUAUUAUCUCAUCCGUUCGUUACUCCUGUUUUACUUUGGGCUCUGAUCAUACGUGAUCUGUUCAGUUUUUUUUUUUUUUUUUUUUUUUUUUUUUUUUUUUUUUAGUGCUACAACCAAAAGACUUUUGUGUGUAUAGUAUCUCAAUGUGUAGCAAAAGUUAAGGAUAUUGAGAGAAGAAUUGGGAAAAGAUAUGAAAAGCUUUUAAACUUUUAGUUGAAGGGUUUCAAGAAGGUGGCGAAGCAGAUAUUGUUAUAGUAUCUACCGUAAGAUCCAAUUCUGCUGGAUCUUCUGAGUUCCACUUAGAUCAUGGAAUGGCUGAUGUUGCUUCGAGUAGGGCCAGGUUGGCUAAUGCAGACAGGCAUGCAAGGAAUAUAUUGUAUACAAGGACAAAGUGACUGGUCAGACUGUCCUCAUUCCCAUUGAUCAUGGAUAUUGCUUGCCGGAUUAUGAGGUGGAUAAUACUGAAGUUGAAGAAGAUGCUUCAUGAAUUGCUUUACGAGAAAUUGGAGAAGCAAGAGAAAGAAAUGAUAAUUGUGUGUUUUUUUUUUUUUUUUUUUUUUUUUUUUUUUUUUUUUUUGUUUAACUAGUGAUAAUUUAAUUUUGUAAUUUUCCUUAUAGAUAACAAUGUACAAACUUUGAAUUCAUAUUAAUAAAAUUCUAAUCUUUUUUUUUUUUUGAAAAUUUUGAUUUAAAUUGUAUUAUUAUUAUUAUUAUUAUUAUUAUUAUUAUUAUUAUUAUUAUUGGCAUUAGGUAUAGUGAACCGUGGCAUUAGGGUGUAUGCAUUGUAAGGCAUUAGGUAUAGGGAACCGUGACAUUAGGGUAUAUGCACCGUGGCAUUAGAUAUAGGAAACCGUGGCAAUAGGUAUUAUAGCUAAUGCCACAUCAAUAAUGUUGUCGUUGCAUCAGGUAUUGAUCCUUCGAAUUGAUUCGUCGUCUCUGAUCAAUUACUCGAUUGGGGUGCGA